UUGGAGGGCAAGUCUGGUGCCAGCAGCCGCGGUAAUUCCAGCUCCAAUAGCGUAUAUUAAAGUUGUUGCAGUUAAAAAGCUCGUAGUUGAAUUUCGGGAUUAGUACGUUGGUCGUGCCUUAGGUACGUACUGGUGUUACUGGUUCCUACCUUCUGACGAACCAUCAUGUCAUUAAUUUGGUGUGGUGGGGAAUCAGGACUGUUACUUUGAAAAAAUUAGAGUGUUUAAAGCAGGCUCGCGCUUGAAUACAUUAGCAUGGAAUAAUGAAAUAGGACGUUGAUCCUAUUUUGUUGGUUUCUAGGAUUGACGUAAUGAUUAAUAGGGAUAGUUGGGGGCAUUAGUAUUCAAUUGUCAGAGGUGAAAUUCUUGGAUUUAUUGAAGACUAACUACUGCGAAAGCAUUUGCCAAGGAUGUUUUCAUUAAUCAAGAACGAAAGUUAGGGGAUCGAUGACGAUCAGAUACCGUCGUAGUCUUAACCAUAAACUAUGCCGACUAGGGAUCGGAUGAUGUUAAUUUUUUAAUGACUCAUUCGGCGCCUUACGGGAAAC
rnacentral:rRNA from 1 species